rnacentral:lncRNA from 15 species
AUUCAGUCAGCAACAAAAUCUGCAGCCUACUGUAAGUCUCUGAGCACACAGGACCAACUAUACACAGCUUGUGGAAGGCGCCCCCCAGUGGCAAUUCAUGGCAUUGACACACUAACUAUAUCUAUCUAUCUAUCUAUCUAGCAAAAUUAUGUUCCUUAGAAGUCUCAAUGCAAUAGUGACCACUAUGGUGGUCAAUUUGUCAUAAAAAACAUGUUUUCAUUCAGAAAAAUAAUUUAUUAAAUGUCUGUGGUCAUCAGAAAUUACUCAUUAAUUAGUAAGAUAUUGAGUAAGCAUUUCAUUGAUAAAUCAGUGUUUUUUAAAUCAGGUUUUAUAUAAUAAAAUAAUAAACGUAUUUGUUCAAAUAAACCUGAAAUUUUUGUGUGACUUUUGUAUGACUUGUGUAUGUAUAUUUGUAUAUUUUAUGCACCAAUGCACCAGAACACAUUCCUCGUAGGUGUAAAAACCUACUUAGCAAUAAACCUAAUUCCGAUUCUGAUUCUGAAAUGGUAAUGAUAUCUUGUAAUGAUUAUUUUAGGCCACAAAGCUUUAGUAAAAAGAGUGCUUUGUAUUAUUUUAUAAGCCUAUUUGAUACCUUUCCUCUCUUUUAGUCUAUCCAUCUAGUAAUUGCUUUAAUGACUGGUUAAAUCACCAAUGUUCCUUUAAUUCCCUUUCUCAUCCAUGCUCCAUUAAGACACGUUUGAAUUGAUAAAAAAGUAGAUUAUGCUCAAAUAAGACACGAUCACAGGCAAAGAGAAGCAGAUUUAGUAUUUAUUUUCUUACAUUCUUGGGCUAUUUGUUUCUUUGUUUGUUGUUUCUUUGUUUUUCUCCACGUAAUCUCAUCUCCGGUGACAGGAUGUGUGCUGCAAUCCUCCUUGUGGUCACUAGGGGGGGUCACGGCGCCAGAAAUCGUCAAGCACGGUAGCUCCCAUCAACGCCCCUGAGCUGCCGCCGGGACACAGUGACGGAUUGGCAACAAACGAAGAAAACUUCGGUGUGCGUGCGCUUGUCAUCCACUAUUUAUGUUUCAAACUUCUGGGGGAAUGUGCUCGCUUGUGAAGCCGAGGCUACUCUAGGCGAAGAAGCUCCGCUCAUCAGACUGCUCCGUCAACUCUGUCCGUCUGCCUCAUCAACACCAGUGCCGGUGAGUAAAUCAUACUUAAAAAGUUUAGAAUCACCAACUUUAGUCAUUGUUUGUCUACCCUUUUUCUCAUUCUUUCUGUUAACAAAGAGAAAGAAAGAGAGAGACUGCAUUUUUUGGGAACGGGCCGACAGCUUUAAUUGAAGACAGGGACUGAAUGUGCAAAACACUUGAGAGGCUUUGAGACAUUUAAUCAUUGUUUUCCAGAAAUCUGACCACAUUUUCAUGUGUAAACACUAAAACAUCCUAACACACAUGUUAGUUUGCAUGCAGUCUUUAAGUAUGUUUGUUUCUUUCUGCUUUAUCAAUGUGAGAGUGACACUGCGUUUAUAUGAAAACAUACUUGAGCAUGUGUGUGUGUCUGCAUGUGCCUGUGUGCACAUAUGUGCUUAUUAGUGAGUGUUUCAAGUGUUAGCCAGUGCCUGUGGAGCUCUUUAUUAUUAGCAUAUGUGUGUGUGUGUUAGUGUGUACACACUUGCAUUUGUUUGAUGUGUAUGAAUGUGUAUUCACCAGAGGAGUCACCAGCCCUUGACCUGUUUUUUUUUAUAACCAACAUAUGAAGACUUGGAAAAGAGAAGCAUUGUUUUCCACCUUUUAAACAGCAGAGGCUAAUUCCUGUGGAGUGAGGUGUGUCUGAAACUCUGGUCUUAGUUUACAUGAAGUUUAUUCAUUGUGUUCCCAUAGUUAGCAGCGUGUCAGCGAACAUUAUUUAUUGAUGCUGGCAUAUGUGCUAGGUUAACAGGUUCCACUUGUUACAGCCAUGUGUAACACAGUGCGUUUAGUGCUAUGUGAUUUGGAUAUCAGAUGAAGAUCAGGGACUUGAUGUCAGAGUGUAGCUUUCCACAGUGCUUUAGUUUAUUGCUCCAGCACUGAUUGGUCAGUAGGUAAGCCACUGCAGCUGGACUGCCUUGGCUUUGCACCUGCUGUCCACUGCUUAUAUCCCCUGGUGGACCUGACAUAAGUGUGAGGGACAGUUUGACUGAAGUGAAUCGAAAAAACAUCCACACGGUCGAGUGAGAGAUGCCUGCUUGAAGGCCAGCGAUAUCCGUGUCGCCCUUCGCUGUCAUCUGGUCUAUCAGUUUGAGUCGGUGACAUCUGGAGUGGAAGACACAGAGCUCAUCUCUGUGGCAGAGUAAUAUCACUGCGCUCUCAUCCUCCAGAACACCACCCAUGGGUCUUUUUUCGAGGACAGGCUGCCCAUACAGAGCAGCUUUACCUUCAUGGUGUUCAGUCACACCGUCUUCAGUGACAGUUUGAAAUCAAUUAUUAUUUGUGCUUGAUGUUUUAUGCUCCAAAU